UACGAAGGGGGCUAGCGUUGCUCGGAAUUACUGGGCGUAAAGCGCACGUAGGCGGCUUUCUAAGUCGGGGGUGAAAUCCUGGAGCUCAACUCCAGAACUGCCUUUGAUACUGGGAGUCUCGAGUCCGGGAGAGGUGAGUGGAACUGCGAGUGUAGAGGUGAAAUUCGUAGAUAUUCGCAAGAACACCAGUGGCGAAGGCGGCUCACUGGCCCGGUACUGACGCUGAGGUGCGAAAGCGUGGGGAGCAAACAGGG
rnacentral:rRNA from 1 species